AUUGGACUUGUUGUCCUAAGAGAAGGAUCAUCUUCUUAUGACACUGAUUGUGGUCAAAGACAAAGACAAAACACUGUUGCCAUUGUAGCUGGUGUUGCAGUCCUAGCUGCUACAUGUGGGGCUGUGGUAUUUAUAUAUCAUAGAAGGAAGAGAGAAAAUAAAAGCUUAACAAGGUGCUUAUGGAACAGACUGAACCAGACAGGACUGCCAAAUGACCCGUUCUCCUUCUGGACCAACUGACCACAGUGCCACCUCUCUAUUACUGCUGUGCUACACCACCUCACUACUGCAGAGACUGCUGCCCUGAGAUGCCAGAGUGGGGACCUGCAUACCAUGAUAAGAACAACACUUGCUGGAUGAGGAUGUUAUAACUCGAUCAUGUCUUAUCAAAACACAUAUUGUUUGUGGUAUUUCAGCACCUGACUUUCCUCAUGAAGAAGAUAAUGCUCUUUCUGAAGGAGCCACACUGGACUACUGGAGGAUGGGGAGGCCAGGACACACAAGACUGUGCCGUCCCAAGUCCAUGUUGCUGAGUUUUGGGAAGAAAAGCAAGGAAGAAUCAGACCUUUUGGUGGUCCAGGAAAAUCAGUCCCUGCUGUCUUUUUUUAAAGGCUGCAAUUCAGUUUCGGUUUUACGAAAGGAUGUUAUUUGAACUGUUACACAAGACUUUUCAGUAAAGCAAGUGUUAUGUAUGGACAGGUACAAAGAAGGAAGAAGGAAAUGGACAAAAACACAAACAAACAGCUGAAUGAAUGGAGAGAAACCCUGGUCAUUUAUCAAUCUAUUGUCCUCAAGGCCAUACUGUGAACAUCAGUAAUUAUUAUCACGCUCUAUCUGGUGACCCGUUCCUCACAUGUUUACUCUGAAAGUAUCUGCAGCACUUCAGCACUUUGUAUUUUUAGCACUUUAUUAUUUAACAAUUAGCUCUUGGCAGAUGAGAAUUCAUCAAAUAAACGACUAAACAAACUGGAUGUUUAAGGGGAAGAUGGUAAAAGGAUCUUGAGUAUUCUGUAGCCAGAGACUCCUGCACUCCAUGUGUGUAGCCAUCAUCCUCUGAGCAGCCAGGUAUGUUCAUACCCUCUGAAUGAUUGAAUGUAUCCUGUGAGGAAAUGGACCAGCGAGUCAAAACUGGAGCUACAGGCCUGCUUUGACUGCACUGACUGGAGUGUUUUUGAGGCUGCAUCUACAUCCCUAGAUGAACUCACUGACACUGUGACAUCCUACAUCAGUUUUUGUGAAAGCAUGUGUGUACCCACCAAAACGUUCUGCACCUUUAACAACAAUAAACCGUGGUUCACGGCAAAGCUAAGGCAGCUUCGUCAAGCCAAAGAGGAGGCCUACAGGAGUGGGGACAGGAUACUGUACAACAAGGCCAGAAAAGAGUAGCAAAGAGAAGCUACACUGAAAAGCUGAAAAACAGGUAGUCAGCUAACGACCCUGCGUCAGUGUGGAGAGGCCUGCAGGACAUCACCAACUAUAGGAAAACCUCCCCCCACACCAUGGAGAACCCUCAACUGGCUUACGAUCUGAAUGUGUUUUACUGCAGGUUUGAUCACCCCCAGUGGCGAUUUUAGCCUGAAAUUUCUGGUGGGGCAAUUUUGUAUGACGUCACGUCACCGUCACAAAAAUAGAGGUAGCUGAUUAUUAUAAGCAGUAGGCCUAUAUAGACCAGUAAGAUAUGCUAUGGGCUGCAUUUUGAGUGCCAGCAUGGAGCAGAAAUCCUAUUUCAAAUACAUUUCACAUGCUUCAGCGCGACACAAGGAUGUUGCCUAUACAGCAUUAAAGUAAAAUGAUUGCAACAAAGUAAAAAGAUUAGACAGACACAUAGCUCAAAUAACUUGCAUCAUUUAUUAAGCUUGUGGCACACGUAUACAAUACAAUAUGAAGCAAAAGGCACAACCGAAACAAAUAACAGCAAAAAAACAUGCUGCUAAAUGAACAAAACUUUGUUCUUGCAGAUUGCAUUGAUACAUCCAUCAGCUCCAAAAAAAAAAAGUUUGACUCACAGAAUCGUAGUGUCUUUGCAGCCUGGUGUCGCCCUCGCACAUCGUCUCAAAGUUCGCACUUCCCACAGAGCUUUAUGCACGAUAUCAGCCUCCCCAGUACAUGACGAUUCUCCUCCGUCUGUUUGUUGUGUUCUAAAAUGUUCCGCUGAUGUGCACUAUCUAGCUGUGCCAUGAUGUUGACCUGCCCCAAUUGCAGAGCGCAAUUGAUUAUGGGGUUUACAGCUUUCGUGUUUCACUGUUCUUUCUGCCAGAUGCUUCAGGUCUUUGAAUCCAUCCGUUGUCCGAACUGAGACUGCAUUAGUAACAAUUCCAAAAAGAAGGCAUGGGAAACAGAACAGUGCUCGUUUUGAUGUGCUAGCUGUUAGCCAUGUCUUUCUGUCAUACCAUUCCGUCUUGAAAGUUCGAGUCGCUUUCUGACCAGGCUGCAGCAGGAUCAAGUCGUCUGGUCUGUGUGGUCCCAAACGUUUGAUUUCAAAUUUUUCUUCCAGCGGCAAUGUACUAAAUUGCACCCUCAUCAAAUAAUCUACGUUAUUCAUUGUAUGAAUUAAAAAACACUUCCAAAAUAGUCGAAAUCUAGCGAUAGCUAACUAGCAGUGCCGUUACUGGCAUUGAUCUGACUGUAUGUUUUUCUUUUUUUUUCUUAGUCACGGGGUACAGGUCUCGCGGUUUUCGCAUUAUUCCAGUCUAGUUGCCAGGCAGAUUUCGUGGGGCACAUCUGAAAGUGCCCCACCGCUCAAUGUUAACUUUGGCCUGUGUGGUUCACGCUCAUUGGUGUUUCCAUGGUAACGGUGGGGCAGCGUGGGCUGUUGCCCCACCGGAAAGGGAGGGACAGCGGAGAGCAGCAUUUCACAGAGCAAGCACACAGACAGAAAAACACACAAAUCAAAUUACUCCAAAACAAGACUAUAAUGCUUGUGAGUCAAGUUUAUUCACACACAUAUUCACGCUACUUUGCAUAAAAAAAAUAUAUAUAUUUUGCCGCGAAGUACGAAUGUAUUGAGCUUUCUGCACAACAGCGUCAUCUGGAUCUGGUGGGGCAGUGCCCCACCUGCCCCUAAUGUAGAAACGCCACUGAUCACCCCACAUUCCCUCCCCCAACCCGCUCCAACUCACACAAUCAUCUGCACCCCCCGUUAUAACCUCCCCCCUGACUCCCCACCGGCACUGACGGUCUGUGAAGAGGAUGUGUGUCAGCUCUUUCAGAGACAGAAGAUAAGGAAGGCAUCAGGCACAGACGGUGUGUCACCCUCCUGUCUGAAAGCCUGUGCUGAUCAGCUGGCCCCCAUCUUCACACGGAUCUUCAACUGAUCUCUGGAGCUGUGUGAAGUCCCCUCCUGCUUCAAACGCUCCACCAUCAUCCCAGUCCCCAAGAAACACUCCAUCACUGGACUGAAUGACUACAGGCCCGUCGCCCUAACGUCUGUGGUCAUGAAAUCCUUUGAAAGACUGGUGUUGACCCAUCUGAAGGACUUUACAGGCAGGGGGCUGGACCCUCUGCAGUUUGCUUACCGGGCAAACAGGUCAGUGGAUGAUGCAGUCAAGCUGCACUACAUCCUGCAACACCUCGCCUCCCCAGGGACUUAUGCAUGGAUGCUGUUUGUAGACUUCGACGUUUAACACCAUCAUCCCAGAAAUCCUCCUCACCAAACUCACCCAGCUCACUGUGCCCGCCUCCACCUGUCAGUGGAUCACCAACUUCCUGAUAGACAGGAAGCAGCAGGGGAAGCUGGGUGAAAUAACAUCCAGCACCCGGUCAGUCAGCACUGGUGCACCUCAGGGAUGCGUGCUCUCCCCACUGCUCUUCUCCCUCUACACUAACGACUGCACCUCAGGUGACCCAUCUGUUAAACUCCAUAAAUUUGCAGACGACACAUCAGUCAUCGGCCUCAUCCGUGUUGAUGAUGAGUCUGCAUAUAGGCAGGAAGUUGAGCAGCUGGCCCUGUGGUGCGGUCGUAACAAUCUGGAGCUUAACACUUAAAACCGUAGAGAUGACAGUGGACUUCAGGAGGAGCCCCCCUUCACUGCCCCCCCCUCACCAUACUCAACAGCACUUGUGUUUCUCUGUGGAAUCCUUUAGGCUUCUUGGAUCCACAAUCUCCCGGAACCUGAAGUGGGAACCCAAAUCAACACAAUCAUCAAGAAGGCCCAGCAGAGGAUGUACUUCCUGCACCAGCUCUACACUGUAGUCAUAGAGUGUAUUCUCUGCACUUCCAUAACUGUCUGGUUUGGAUCGGCCACCCAACUGGAUAGGAUUAAGAUCAUCGGUGCCGACCUGCCCACCAUCCAAGACCUGUACACCUCCAGAGUCAGGAAACGGGCAGGGAAAAUCACUGCAGACCUCUCAGACCCUGGACACCUAUUUCAACUUCUCCCCUCUGGUAGGCGCUACAGAACACUGUUCGCCAAAACAGUGAUUUAUAUCUCAAAUACGAAAUGUGCAAUACAUUCCACCCUUUACUGUAUAACUAUACAGGCUGUAUAUACUGUACUUCUUACGUCAUUCUCUUACCAUUUAAUAUUUAUCCAAGCACUUCUUGCACUCUCCACUCUUUGCACUAAUAGAGCCACUUUACCCGGAGUCAAAUUCCUUGUUUGCAAACUUACUUGGCCAAUAAACGUGAUUCUGAUUCAUAGGUUUUCUCUUAUAUAUUUGUAACUGGUAUGUUGG
ensembl:lncRNA